AGCUCAGUGAUUGUAGCCACUUAUGUUGGCAAUAUACGCUAUGCUGACCAUAGUUUGAUGAUGAAUGAGAAUAUGAGAGCU
rfam:Oryza glaberrima chromosome 11 Oglab11_0286_3, whole genome shotgun sequence.